AUUGAACGCUGGCGGCAGGCCUAACACAUGCAAGUCGCACGAGUGGCGGACGGGGGAGAAAAGUCUGGGAACCUGCCCGAUGGAGGGGGAUAACUACUGGAAACGGUAGCUAAUACCGCGUACGAUCGGAUGUGCCCAGAUGGGAUGAGCGUGUAGGUGGGGUAACCGCUCACCUAGACGCCGAUCCCUAGCUGGUCUGAGAGGAUGAUCAUCCACACUGGAACGGAGACACGGUCCAGACUCCUACGGGAGGCAGCAGUGGGUAAUAUUGCACAAUGGGCGCAAGCCUGAUGCAGCCAGGUCGGGUGGAUGAAGAAUGCCUUCGGGUUGUAAAGUACUUUAAGCGGGGAGGCGUUACCCGCAGAAGAAGCACCGGCUAACUCCGUGCCAGCCGCCGCGGUAAUAC
rnacentral:rRNA from 1 species